UACGAAGGUCCCAAGCGUUAUCCGGAUUUAUUGGGCUUAAAGGGUGCGUAGGCGGGCUAUUAAGUCAGUGGUGAAAGCCCCAAGCUUAACUUGGGAACUGCCAUUGAUACUGAUGGUCUUGAGUACAUUUGAGGUGGGCGGAAUGUGUCAUGUAGCGGUGAAAUGCUUAGAUAUGACACAGAACACCGAUUGCGAAGGCAGCUCACUAAACUGUAACUGACGCUGAGGCACGAAAGCGUGGGGAUCGAACAGG
rnacentral:rRNA from 1 species